rnacentral:rRNA from 1 species
UUAGUCAGGACCUAAGCCGAGGCCGACAGGCGUAGGCGAUGGACAACAGGUUGAUAUUCCUGUACCACCUCUUUAUCGUUUGAGCAAUGGAGGGACGCAGAAGGAUAGAAGAAGCGUGCGAUUGGUUGUGCACGUCCAAGCAGUUAGGCUGAUAAGUAGGCAAAUCCGCUUAUCGUAAAGGCUGAGCUGUGAUGGGGAAGCUCCUUAUGGAGCGAAGUCUUUGAUUCCCCGCUGCCAAGAAAAGCUUCUAGCGAGAUAAAAGGUGCCUGUACCGCAAACCGACACAGGUAGGCGAGGAGAGAAUCCUAAGGUGUGCGAGAGAACUCUGGUUAAGGAACUCGGCAAAAUGACCCCGUAACUUCGGGAGAAGGGGUGCUUUCUUAACGGAAAGCCGCAGUGAAUAG